AUCUCAAAGAUGGAAAAAGAAAGAAGGAACCUAUCAGAGCUUUAUAAAUUAUCAAUUGAGAGCUUUCCAGGUUUGUCUUUAUCAUCAUAUCCUUAUUUAGUAUUGUGUUGAUGCAAUAGUAUAUCACAUUAAUUUAUGGGGCUGAUAUUGUAAGGAUUUAAGAGCUGCAUCUGAGUCCAUAAAACGUGAAGUUUUGAAGACAAAAAGGAGUUACUUG
rnacentral:misc_RNA from 1 species